AAGCGCUCCGGGGUCGGUGCAAUUCCGAACCGGUGGUGACAGUCCACGAGCUGACGCAGGGUGCGAACCCCGCCGAUGUUGACCCGGCGGAACUCCGGGACCGACGGUGAGAGUCCGGACGGGAGGAAGCGCAG
rnacentral:ncRNA from 2 species